rnacentral:rRNA from 1 species
CCACAGGCCGUAAACCCAAGGUUUCCAGGGGAAGGUUCGUCCGCCCUGGGUUAGUCGGGACCUAAGCUGAGGCCGAAAGGCGUAGGUGAUGGACAACAGGUUGAUAUUCCUGUACUACCGAUAACCGCUUGAGAGAAGGGAUGACACAGUAGGAUAAGCUAAGCACACUGUUGGAUAUGUGUGCCCAAGCAUUGAGGCAGUCAAAGUAGGCAAAUCCGCUUUGAUAAUGCUGGGAUGUGAUGGGGAGCGAAAUUUAGUAGCGAAGUAGCUGAUUUCACACUGUCAAGAAAAGUCUCUAUCGA